AAUGAACGCUGGCGGCAGGCCUAACACAUGCAAGUCGAACGGAUCCUUCGGGAUUAGUGGCGGACGGGUGAGUAACGCGUGGGAACAUACCCUUUGGUACGGAAUAGCCUCGGGAAACUGGGAGUAAUACCGUAUGUGGUCGAGAGACGAAAGAUUUAUCGCCAAAGGAUUGGCCCGCGUGGGAUUAGGUAGUUGGUGGGGUAAUGGCCUACCAAGCCGACGAUCCAUAGCUGGGUUGAGAGGAUGAUCAGCCACACUGGGACUGAGACACGGCCCAGACUCCGACGGGAGGCAGCAGUGGGGAAUCUUAGACAAUGGGGGAAACCCUGAUCUAGCCAUGCCGCGUGAUCGAUGAAGGCCUUAGGGUUGGAAAGAUCUUUCAGGUGGGAAGAUAAUGACUGUACCACCAGAAGAAGCACCGGCUAACUCCGUGCCAGCAGCCGCCGCAGUAA
rnacentral:rRNA from 1 species